GGUAGAAAUGCAUGUUAGGACAUAUGUUGAGUUUAUGGGGUUUUGAUGAUGUUUGAGCAAUGUAGCUGGAUUGUGUGUGAAUGAAGUGUUGUAGAUGGGGUAUAUGCAUGUUUGAGACCCCUAGGAACUUGUAUGUGUGUUUUGGUUGAGAAAUAUGCAUGAUCUAUGGUUUUGGGAGGCAGGAGGUUCAUUUGAACCAAGUUUCUGCCGUUUGGCAGAAACCAGGUUCGGCAGCCGAAGGGAGUUUCGGCCGCCGAACCCCUCUUGUGAAGGCAGCUUUCGGCUGCCGAAGGUGCCCCCGAAAAGAGACUUUCGUCUCUGUCUGGCACUUUCGGCCGCCGAAGGUGCCGCCGAACCUAGCUGAGUUUCGUCUCUGUCCAGGACUUUCGGCCGCCGAAGGUGCCGCCGAAGGUGCCCUGUUCAGCCGUUUCAUGCAUAUUUUCUGUGAUGUUUUCAUGAUGUUUUAGGGGGUUUUUGGGGGAUGUAUUAGAAUUGUGUUUAUAUAUGUUUGGUCCCUCAUUGGAGUCCACCUGUGUAGGUUCGGACCCGAGGAACCGAGGACCCCAGCAGUGAGAGAGCUGCUUCAGUGUCUGGUCAGAGCUAACCAGAGGUGAGUGGAAACAAGCUUAAUGUUUUAAAUCAAGCAAUUAAAUGUUUUGAGCAUGUUUCAUGCAUCAUGAUGACAUGUAAUAGGCUGAUUGCAUUAGUUCACGAAUAUGUCGCAUUGCAUUUUAUUUUGUGGUUGUGGGUGAAAGCUGUAUGAUCCAAUUAGUCCACGAGACUUUAUGUAUGUUAUGACAGGAAGACCAGGACCCCAUGCUACGGCCUGGCACGAGGCUUUAUAUAUGAUAUGACAGGAAGACCAGGACCCCAUGCUACGGCCUGGCACGAGGCUUUAUAUAUGAUAUGACAGGAAGACCAGGACCCCAUGCUACGGCCNNNN
rnacentral:lncRNA from 1 species